rnacentral:rRNA from 1 species
UACGUAGGGGGCGAGCGUUGUCCGGAUUUAUUGGGCGUAAAGAGCGUGUAGGCGGUUCGGUAAGUCUGCCGUGAAAACCUGAGGCUCAACCUCGGGCGUGCGGUGGAUACUGCCGGGCUAGAGGACGGUAGAGGCGAGUGGAAUUCCCGGUGUAGCGGUGAAAUGCGCAGAUAUCAGGAGGAACACCUAUUGCGAAGGCAGCUCGCUGGGACGUAACUGACGCUGAGACGCGAAAGCGUGGGGAGCAAACAGG